UGUGAAACCAUGCCUAAGCCAGAUAUAAAUUACUAGCCGGCAUUGUCCUUUCAGCAGCAUCCCUGCUGGCUGAUUGUUGAUUGAGGUCAUUAGAAAUAUCAUCAGAUAUUGGAUUAUUUUGUGUGAAUAAAACAUCAUUGCUCCUUUUC